CGGGGCGUGGCGCAGCCUGGUAGCGCACUUGACUGGGGGUCAAGGGGUCGCUGGUUCGAGUCCAGUCGCCCCGACCG
rnacentral:tRNA from 1 species